rnacentral:lncRNA from 1 species
UCCCAUUUUCCUCAUAAUUUUACAGGACUCCGUUUUCUCUCCCCUACUAGAAUCUACCUGGAUAACUCUCCCAUUUAUUAGUAGUUUGUGCCAGCUUUUCCAGGCAGUGCUUAUUUUUCUUGGAAAAGGAUAGAAGAGUCAGAGUUGAAGGGCCAACCCAAGGAUGAAGGCACUGCCCGCCCGCCUGUGGUGGGCAUGUGGAUGAGGAAUCCGUGCCUGCACAUAGCACUCAAGAUCCACCACACUGACUUCUUUAAGGGAAAUAAAAUGGAGCUCUCUGCCCCAGAAAUUGUUCAUCAUAUGGUUGUGCAUAUUUAUAUAGAGAAACCAAACAAAAACAAUAAGAAAAAACAUUACAACUUGACAACUACUGGAUGCAUUUUUGAAUUAGCAAAACACAGAAAACAAAAUCCAACAGUGACAUGGUAAGAAAACACAAAUUACUUCAAAAAAAAAAAAAAAGGAAAGAAAUGUCAGGAGAUAAUGAAGCAGAGUCAAGAAAAAAACA